CCUUCGGGAUGCCGGCGAGCGGCGGACGGGUGAGUAAUGCCUAGGAAUCUGCCUGGUAGUGGGGGAUAACUCGGGGAAACUCGAGCUAAUACCGCAUACGUCCUACGGGAGAAAGUGGGGGAUCUUCGGACCUCACGCUAUCAGAUGAGCCUAGGUCGGAUUAGCUAGUAGGUGAGGUAAAGGCUCACCUAGGCGACGAUCCGUAACUGGUCUGAGAGGAUGAUCAGUCACACUGGAACUGAGACACGGUCCAGACUCCUACGGGAGGCAGCAGUGGGGAAUAUUGGACAAUGGGCGAAAGCCUGAUCCAGCCAUGCCGCGUGUGUGAAGAAGGUCUUCGGAUUGUAAAGCACUUUAAGUUGGGAGGAAGGGCUGUCGGCUAAUACCCUGCAGUUUUGACGUUACCAACAGAAUAAGCACCGGCUAACUUCGUGCCAGCAGCCGCGGUAAUACGAAGGGUGCAAGCGUUAAUCGGAAUUACUGGGCGUAAAGCGCGCGUAGGUGGUUUGGUAAGUUGGAUGUGAAAGCCCCGGGCUCAACCUGGGAACUGCAUCCAAAACUGCCUGACUAGAGUACGGUAGAGGGUGGUGGAAUUUCCUGUGUAGCGGUGAAAUGCGUAGAUAUAGGAAGGAAC
rnacentral:rRNA from 1 species